AACGACUCUCGACAACGGAUAUCUAGGCUCUCGCAUCGAUGAAGAACGUAGCGAAAUGCGAUACUUGGUGUGAAUUGCAGAAUCCCGUGAACCAUCGAGUCUUUGAACGCAAGUUGCGCCCGAAGCCAAUAGGCCGAGGGCACGUCUGCCUGGGUGUCACGCA
rnacentral:rRNA from 1 species